GACGAACGCUGGCGGCGUGCUUAACACAUGCAAGUCGAACGGAAAGGCCCUGCUUUUGUGGGGUGCUCGAGUGGCGAACGGGUGAGUAACACGUGAGUAACCUGCCCUUGACUUUGGGAUAACUUCAGGAAACUGGGGCUAAUACCGGAUAGGAGCUCCUGCUGCAUGGUGGGGGUUGGAAAGUUUGGGCGGUUGGGGAUGGACUCGCGGCUUAUCAGCUUGUUGGUGGGGUAGUGGCUUACCAAGGCUUUGACGGGUAGCCGGCCUGAGAGGGUGACCGGCCACAUUGGGACUGAGAUACGGCCCAGACUCCUACGGGAGGCAGGAGUGGGGAAUAUUGCACAAUGGGCGGAAGCCUGAUGCAGCAACGCCGCGUGCGGGAUGACGGCCUUCGGGAUGUAAACCGCUUUCGCCUGUGACGAAGCGUGAGUGACGGUAAUGGGUAAAGAAGCACCGGCUAACUACGUG
rnacentral:rRNA from 1 species